UACGGAGGGUGCAAGCGUUAAUCGGAAUUACUGGGCGUAAAGCGUACGUAGGCGGCUUGUUAAGCAAGAUGUGAAAUCCCCGGGCUCAACCUGGGAAUGGCAUUUUGAACUGGCAGGCUCGAGUUCUGAAGAGGGUGGUAGAAUUUCCAGUGUAGCGGUGAAAUGCGUAGAUAUUGGAAGGAAUACCGGUGGCGAAGGCGGCCACCUGGUCAGAAACUGACGCUGAGGUACGAAAGCGUGGGUAGCAAACAGG
rnacentral:rRNA from 1 species